UGAAGUUUGGAGGUGUGUAGUGAUGAACUCUGAAGCUACAUGAAGUUUGGAGGUGUGUAGUGAUGAACUCUGAAGCUACAUGAAGUUUGGAGGUGUGUAGUGAUGAACUCUGAAGCUACAUGAAGUUUGGAGGUGUGUAGUGAUGAACUCUGAAGCUACAUGAAGUUUGGAGGUGUGUAGUGAUGAACUCUGAAGCUACAUGAAGUUUGGAGGUGUGUAGUGAUGAACUCUGAAGCUACAUGUAGUUUGGAGGUGUGUAGUGAUGAACUCUGAAGCUAAACAUGAAGUUUGGAGGUGUGUAGUGAUGAACUCUGAAGCUACAUGAAGUUUGGAGGAGUGUAGUGAUGAACUCUGAAGCUACAUGAAGUUUGGAGGUGUGUGGUGAUGAACUCUGAAGCUACAUGAAGUUUGGAGGUGUGUAGUGAUGAACUCUGAAGCUACAUGAAGUUUGGAGGUGUGUAGUGAUGAACUCUGAAGCUACAUGAAGUUUGGAGGUGUGUAGUGAUGAACUCUGAAGGUACAUGAAGUUUGGAGGUGUGUAGUGAUGAACUCUGAAGCUACAUGAAGUUUGGAGGUGUGUAGUGAUGAACUCUGAAGCUACAUGAAGUUUGGAGGUGUGUAGUGAUGAACUCUGAAGGUACAUGAAGUUUGGAGGUGUGUAGUGAUGAACUCUGAAGGUACAUGAAGUUUGGAGGUGUGUAGUGAUGAACUCUGAAGGUACAUGAAGUUUGGAGGUGUGUAGUGAUGAACUCUGAAGGUACAUGAAGUUUGGAGGUGUGUUGUGAUGAACUCUGAAGCUACAUGAAGUUUGGAGGUGUGUAGUGAUGAACUCUGAAGGUACAUGAAGUUUGGAGGUGUGUAGUGAUGAACUCUGAAGGUACAUGAAGUUUGGAGGUGUGUAGUGAUGAACUCUGAAGGUACAUGAAGUUUGGAGGUGUGUAGUGAUGAACUCUGAAGGUACAUGAAGUUUGGAGGUGUGUAGUGAUGAACUCUGAAGGUACAUGAAGUUUGGAGGUGUGUAGUGAUGAACUCUGAAGGUACAUGAAGUUUGGAGGUGUGUUGUGAUGAACUCUGAAGCUACAUGAAGUUUGGAGGUGUGUAGUGAUGAACUCUGAAGGUACAUGAAGUUUGGAGGUGUGUAGUGAUGAACUCUGAAGGUACAUGAAGUUUGGAGGUGUGU